GACGUAGGGCGCGAGCGUUGUCCGGAUUUAUUGGGCGUAAAGAGCUCGUAGGCGGCUUGUCGCGUCGACUGUGAAAACCCGCGGCUCAACUGCGGGCCUGCAGCCGAUACAGGCAGGCUAGAGUUCGGUAGGGGAGACUGGAAUUCCUGGUGUAGCGGUGAAAUGCGCAGAUAUCAGGAGGAACACCGAUGGCGAAGGCAGAUCUCUGGGCCGUAACUGACGCUGAGGAGCGAAAGCAUGGGGAGCGAACAGG
rnacentral:rRNA from 1 species